rnacentral:misc_RNA from 1 species
GAUGAAGAACGUAGUGAAAUGCGAUACGUAAUGUGAAUUGCAGAAUUCAGUGAAUCAUCGAGUCUUUGAACGCACAUUGCGCCCCCUGGUAUUCCGGGGGGCAUGCCUGUCCGAGCGUCAUUGCUGCCCUCAAGCACGGCUUGUGUGUUGGGCCUCCGUCCUCCUCCCGGGGGACGAGCCCGAAAGGCAGCGGCGGCACCGCGUCCGGUCCUCGAGCGUAUGGGGCUUCGUCACCCGCUCUUGUAGGCCCGGCCGGCGCUUGCCGACACAUCAAUCUUUUUUCCAGGUUGACCUCGGAUCAGGUAGGGAUACCCGCUGAACUUAAGCAUAUCAAUAAGCGGAGGA